rnacentral:rRNA from 1 species
GUAAUAGCUCACUGGUCGAGUCGGCCUGCGCGGAAGAUGUAACGGGGCUAAACCAUGCACCGAAGCUGCGGCAGCGACGCUUAUGCGUUGUUGGGUAGGGGAGCGUUCUGUAAGCCUGUGAAGGUGUACUGUGAGGUAUGCUGGAGGUAUCAGAAGUGCGAAUGCUGACAUAAGUAACGAUAAAGCGGGGGAAAAGCCCGCUCGCCGGAAGAC